rnacentral:rRNA from 1 species
UACGGAGGAUCCAAGCGUUAUCCGGAUUUAUUGGGUUUAAAGGGUGCGUAGGCGGCCUGUUAAGUCAGGGGUGAAAGACGGUGGCUCAACCAUCGCAGUGCCCUUGAUACUGAUGAGCUAGAAUACACUAGAAGUAAGCGGAAUGUGACAAGUAGCGGUGAAAUGCAUAGAUAUGUCACAGAACACCAAUUGCGAAGGCAGCUUACUAUGGUGUUAUUGACGCCGAGGCACGAAAGCGUGGGGAUCAAACAGG